rnacentral:lncRNA from 1 species
UUGAAAUAGAAGACGUGGAACCAGGGAAGGCCCCCAACCAGCCUCUCUGUCCCCCUCUGAAAUUGCACAGUCGUUUGUUGCUAUUUAUUAGUGAUUUAAAGAAAGUGUUGGGGAGGGAUGGGGCUACGAUAGCUUGUAUUUAAUUUAACUCCUUUCGGAUAAAAAUGCGUGUUAAAGUAGAUGGUGGGAAUUGUUACAACCGCUCUGGGUCAGAAACAGAAAACUCCAUUUAGUUGCUGUAAUUGAAUUUGAAGUGUUUUGUAUCAUAAGAAUACUAUAGACUAUGUAAAUUGUUUUCUUUUUUAAAGCUAAUAACGGUGAUAUAUUAGCAUCUUUAACUUUUAUUAAUUUAUAUAAGGAAUUCGGUUUGUAAAGAGAAGAAAACCCCCUUUGCAAGACCAGUUAAAUGUAAUGCACUUUCUGUUUCAAAGGAUAAAUCAAAUUAAAAAACAGUUUGAAGA